rfam:Schistosoma curassoni strain Dakar, Senegal genome assembly, scaffold: SCTD_scaffold0001099
AUCCAGCUAACGAGUCCCAAAUAGGACAAAACACGCGUCCUGGAU